rnacentral:rRNA from 1 species
GAUGAACGCUAGCUACAGGCUUAACACAUGCAAGUCGAGGGGUAACGAGAGGAAAGCUUGCUUCCCUUGUCGACGACCGGCGCACGGGUGAGUAACGCGUAUCCAACCUGCCCCCAACUAAGGAAUAACCUUGCGAAAGUAAGACUAAUACCUUAUAAUUUCCUCAGAUGACAUCUGACGAGGAAUAAAGAUUUAUCGGUUGUGGAUGGGGAUGCGUCUGAUUAGCUUGUUGGCGGGGUAACGGCCCACCAAGGCAACGAUCAGUAGGGGUUCUGAGAGGAAGGUCCCCCACAUUGGACCUGAGACACGGUCCAAACUCCUACGGGAGGCAGCAGUGAGGAAUAUUGGUCAAUGGGCGGAAGCCUGAACCAGCCAAGUAGCGUGCAGGAUGACGGCCCUAUGGGUUGUAAACUGCUUUUAUACAGGAAUAAAGUUAGCCACGUGUGGUUAUUUGUAGGUACUGUAUGAAUAAGGACCGGCUAAUUCCGUGCCAGCAGCCGCGGUAA